rnacentral:rRNA from 1 species
AGUAACGGCGAGUGAAGCGGCAACAGCUCAAAUUUGAAAUCUGGCCUCUUUCGGGGUCCGAGUUGUAAUUUGUAGAGGAUGUUUUGGGUACCGCGCUGGUUUAAAUUUCUUGGAACAGAAUGUCAGAGAGGGUGAGAAUCCCGUCUUGGACCGGCGUAGGGCCCGAGUAAAACUCCUUCGACGAGUCGAGUUGUUUGGG